rnacentral:rRNA from 1 species
CUUAACCGACAGACUGCGUUUGAAACUGGUUAUCUUGAGUGUAACAGAGGAGAGUGGAAUUCCUAGUGUAGUGGUGAAAUACGUAGAUAUUAGGAAGAACACCAGUGGCGAAGGCGACUCUCUGGGUUAACACUGACGCUGAGGUACGAAAGCUGGGGGAGCGAACGGGAUUAGAUACCCCGGUAGUCCCAGCCGUAAACGAUGGAUACUAGGUGUUGGAGGUUCGAAUCCUUCAGUGCCGGAGUUAACGCAUUAAGUAUCCCGCCUGGGGAUUACGAUCGCAAGAUUGAAACUCAAAUGAAUUGACGGGGGCCCGCACAAGCGGUGGAGCAUGUGGUUUAAUUCGAAGCAACGCGAAGAACCUUACCGAGAAUUGACAUCCCGUGACCAUCUAUGAGAGUAGAGUUUGGCACUUAGUGCCACAC